AAGUUUGAUCCUGGCUCAGAUUGAACGCUGGCGGAAUGCUUUACACAUGCAAGUCGAACGGCAGCACGGGGCAACCUGGUGGCGAGUGGCGAACGGGUGAGUAAUACAUCGGAACGUGCCCAAUCGUGGGGGAUAACGUAGCGAAAGUUACGCUAAUACCGCAUACGAUCUACGGAUGAAAGCGGGGGAUCGCAAGACCUCGCGCGAGUGGAGCGGCCGAUGUCAGAUUAGGUAGUUGGUGGGGUAAAGGCUCACCAAGCCAACGAUCUGUAGCUGGUCUGAGAGGACGACCAGCCACACUGGAACUGAGACACGGUCCAGACUCCUACGGGAGGCAGCAGUGGGGAAUUUUGGACAAUGGGCGCAAGCCUGAUCCAGCCAUUCCGCGUGCAGGAUGAAGGCCUUCGGGUUGUAAACUGCUUUUGUACGGAACGAAACGGCGAGCUCUAAUACAGUUUGCUAAUGACGGUACCGUAAGAAUAAGCACCGGCUAACUACGUG
rnacentral:rRNA from 1 species